GGAAUUUUGGAAAAUAAAAUGCUGAUUAAUACUUUAAUUGCAGCAAUCUUGCGCAGAGGAUUAAACCAGGAGAAUGGACUGUGAUCUACAGCAAGGACAUCAAAGGUCUCCCAAGACAGGAAGAUGGCAAUGCCUGUGGGAUCUUCAUGUUAAUGUAUGCUCUUUACAUUGUGCUGGGGGCAGAUUUUGACUUCACAACUG